AGUGAACGCUGGCGGUAGGCCCAACACAUGCAAGUCGAACGGCAGCACAGUAAGAGCUUGCUCUUACGGGUGGCGAGUGGCGGACGGGUGAGGAAUACAUCGGAAUCUACUUUUUCGUGGGGGAUAACGUAGGGAAACUUACGCUAAUACCGCAUACGACCUACGGGUGAAAGCAGGGGAUCUUCGGACCUUGCGCGAUUGAAUGAGCCGAUGUCGGAUUAGCUAGUUGGCGGGGGAAAGGCCCACCAAGGCGACGAUCCGUAGCUGGUCUGAGAGGAUGGUGACGCCACCGUGGAACUGAGACACGGCCCAGCCCCCUACGGGAGGACGCAGGGGGGAAUUUUGAACAAUGGGGGCAAGCCUUACCCAGCCAUCCCGGGGGGGGAAAGAAGGCCUUCGGGUUGUAAACCCCUUUUGUGGGGAAAAAAAAGCCGCAGGUUAAUACCCCGCUGUUCGGAGGGUCCCCAAAGAAUAAGCACCGGCCAACUUCGC
rnacentral:rRNA from 1 species